AACUUUCGGCAAUGGAUCACUUGGUUCUGGCAUCGAUGAAGAACGCAGCGGAAUGCGAUAAGUAAUGUGAAUUGCAGAAUUCAGUGAAUCAUCGAAUCUUUGAACGCACAUUGCGCCCCUUGGUAUUCCGAGGGGCAUGCCUGUUCGAGCGUCAUUACAACCCUCAAGCUCUGCUUGGUAUUGGGCCUCACCCAUCAGGGUGGGCCUUAAAAUCAGUGGCGGUGCCAUCUGGCUCUAAGCGUAGUAAUUUUCUCGCUAUAGGGUCCUGUGGAUACUUGCCAACAACCCCAAUUUUUAUAUGGUUGACCUCGGAUCAGGUAGGGAUACCCGCUGAACUUAAGCAUAUCAAUAAGCGGAGGCU
rnacentral:misc_RNA from 1 species